CAGGCGUCUUCCUGGUGGCUGCUGGGCCACUUCGGUCAGUGGGAUUGGAAGAGAGCCAUCACCUGCUUCCCUGAUGAUGUCCCAGCUCUUACAUUUGAUCUUCAACCAACUUAAAAUGCCGGUCAGAACAGCUGGUCUGCGCUACGUAAUCCAACAGCAGAUCUGGUGUGCUGGAAUUCCACUGUCAACGGACCAUUCGGCCCCGGUGCGGACCAAGCCUCAGGGUGAGAAUGCCGCUGGUGGGAAGAACCCUUUUGCCGGUACCCGCAGUGUAGCGAAACCCUCACGACAGAGAUGGGUAGCCCCUUCUCCAGUGUUUCCACUGGGACCUUGAGCACAUCUUCUGUGUGCUGAUGCUGGUUGUCCAGGUUGCUUGAAUAAACAUUUCACAGGAAUUGAGUUGCUUACCUGAUAGAACUGAAUAUUGAUCAGAAAUAUUUUUGUGAACUUCCUCACCCUGCGAACAGCAAGCAUGCAUCUUCUCAGGAAACUUCUGGUUUUUGUAUCACCCAGUGCAUUCUGUCAUCUACAGGGCCUCAGAAAAUUGCUUCUUAGCUAAGGAGGACAGCAGGUAGAUGGGUCCAGGCUUUCUGGUAAGAUUUCUUGAUGCCUCCUAUACUCCUUGCCUUGAAG